rnacentral:rRNA from 1 species
GACGUAGGGGGCCAGCGUUGUUCGGAAUUACUGGGUGUAAAGGGUUCGUAGGCGGUGCGGCAAGUUGGGAGUGAAAUCUCUGGGCUUAACCCAGAGGCUGCUUCCAAAACUGCUGUGCUUGAGUGUGGGAGAGGCGCGUGGAAUUGCAGGUGUAGCGAUGAAAUGCGUAGAUAUCUGCAGGAACACCCGUGGCGAAAGCGGCGCGCUGGACCACUACCGACGCUGAGGAACGAAAGCUAGGGGAGCAAACAGG